GUUCUGUUUCCCUUUUUAUUUUCUGUUUGCGGUGAUUAAUGUGAGAAUAUUACCAGUUGUUCCGACUGAAUAGUUGUAUAACUACGGGUCGACAAUCUCUUUUUAUCGUUAAGUUUCAGCCUUGUAUGAGCACCUAAGA